UAAUUUGACUCAACGCGGAAAAGCUUAUCUGGUCCGGACGCAGUGAGGAUUGACAGACAGUUUCAGGAGUGGUUCUUGGUAAACAAUUGAGAGAGUUGAAGUUCUUUCAUGAUCUUGUGAGAGGUGGUGCAUGGCCGUUCUUAGUUCGUGUAGUGAUAUGUCUGCCUAAUCGCGUCACGAUAACCUAUUGGUCGACAACCCAAUUAUCACAACUGCAGCAUAACUCCCCUUGGGUGGGCGAGGCUCUGUGUAGGAUAGACCUCUGAACAGUACGCAACGAACGCGAUCGUAAUCCCUUGUUGAGUGGCCAUCCUGUAAGCUGCUGGAUUAGGAACCCAGUGGUAUUAUCUCAGCCACAGAUUUUCUGGUUGUAAUGGGCCAGUUUUGAAACUCGGGGAACAUCUGUGACUUUCUUUCUUAACGCAGAGGAAGGUUAUGGCAAUAACAGG
rnacentral:rRNA from 1 species